rnacentral:tmRNA from 1 species
AAUGGACAAUGAAAUAAACUCAUUGGACCCGGGGGCGGUACCCGGCGCCUCCACCAAAAUAUAACAAACAAAAUUAUAUUUUGGUGGGGGCGAAAUAGGAUCGACAAGAGCGUAAAGAUUGCUUUUUUACCCGGCAUGGUACCACCGUUAUCGGACUAAAUUAGUAGUUGCAAAUGACAACUAUGCGGAAGCACGUCUCGCUGCUUAAUGCGGUGCGAAUGUUUCAAAUUAAGUCUUAAAUCGUCGCAGAUUUAAGCGGGGUUCGGAGGCACC